rnacentral:rRNA from 1 species
AGUGGGGAAUUUUGGACAAUGGGGGCAACCCUGAUCCAGCCAUGCCGCGUGCGGGAAGAAGGCCUUCGGGUUGUAAACCGCUUUUGUCGGGGAAGAAACGGUCUGCGCUAAUACCGCGGACUAAUGACGGUACCCGAAGAAUAAGCACCGGCUAACUACGUGCCAGCAGCCGCGGUAAUACGUAGGGUGCAAGCGUUAAUCGGAAUUACUGGGCGUAAAGCGUGCGCAGGCGGCUUUGCAAGACAGAUGUGAAAUCCCCGGGCUUAACCUGGGAACUGCAUUUGUGACUGCAUGGCUAGAGUGCGGCAGAGGGGGAUGGAAUUCCGCGUGUAGCAGUGAAAUGCGUAGAUAUGCGGAGGAACACCGAUGGCGAAGGCAAUCCCCUGGGCCUGCACUGACGCUCAUGCACGAAAGCGUGGGGAGCAAA